UUGAACGCUGGCGGCAUGCCUUACACAUGCAAGUCGAACGGUAGAGGAGCAAUCCUCGAGAGUGGCGAACGGGUGAGUAAUGUAUCGGAACGUGCCCAGUAGUGGGGGAUAGCCCGGCGAAAGCCGGAUUAAUACCGCAUGAUACCUGAGGGUGAAAGCGGGGGAUCGCAAGACCUCGCGCGAUUGGAGCGGCCGAUAUCAGAUUAGCUAGUUGGUGGGGUAAAAGCCCACCAAGGCGACGAUCUGUAGCUGGUCUGAGAGGACGACCAGCCACACUGGAACUGAGACACGGUCCAGACUCCUACGGGAGGCAGCAGUGGGGAAUUUUGGACAAUGGGCGAAAGCCUGAUCCAGCAAUGCCGCGUGCAGGACGAAGGCCUUCGGGUUGUAAACUGCUUUUGUACGGAACGAAACGGUCUCUUCUAAUAAAGGGGGCUAAUGACGGUACCGUAAGAAUAAGCACCGGCUAACUACGU
rnacentral:rRNA from 1 species